rnacentral:rRNA from 1 species
CCUACGGGGGACUGCAGUGGGGGAUAUUGGACAAUGGGGGGCACCCUGCUCCAGCGACGCCGCGUGAGUGAAGAAGUAUCUCGGUAUGUAAAGCUCUAUCAGCAGGGAAGAAGAAAUGACGGUACCUGAGUAAGAAGCCCCGGCUAACUACGUGCCAGCAGCCGCGGUAAUACGUAGGGGGCAAGCGUUAUCCGGACUUACUGGGUGUAAAGGGAGCGUAGACGGUGAUGUAAGUCUGGAGUGAAAGGCCGGGGCCCAAACCCCGGACUGCUCUUGAAACUAUGUGACUGGAGUGCAGGAGAGGUGAGCGGAAUUCGUGGUGUAGCGGUGAAAUGCGUAGAUAUUACGAGGAACACCAGUGGCGAAGGCGGCUCGCUGGACUGUAACUGACGUUGAGGCUCGAAAGCGUGGGGAGCGAACAGGAUUAGAUACCCGGGUAGUC